rnacentral:rRNA from 1 species
AGGAGUGGUUCUUGGUAAACAAUUGAGAGAGUUGAAGUUCUUUCAUGAUCUUGUGAGAGGUGGUGCAUGGCCGUUCUUAGUUCGUGUAGUGAUAUGUCUGCCUAAUCGCGUCACGAUAACCUAUUGGUCGACAACCCAAUUAUCACAACUGCAGCAUAACUCCCCUUGGGUGGGCGAGGCUCUGUGUAGGAUAGACCUCUGAACAGUACGCAACGAACGCAUCGUAAUCCCUUGUUGAGUGGCCAUCCUGUAAGCUGCUGGAUUAGGAACCCAGUGGUAUUAUCUCAGCCACAGAUUUUCUGGUUGUAAUGGGCCAGUUUUGAAACUCGGGGAACAUCUGUGACUUCUUUCUUAACGCAA